rnacentral:rRNA from 1 species
GGCUCUUCGGAGCUAGUGGCAGACGGGUGAGUAACGCGUGGGAACCUACCUAUAAGUACGGAACAACACAGAGAAAUUUGUGCUAAUACCGUAUGUGCCCUUUGGGGUAAAGAUUUAUCGCUUAUAGAUGGGCCCGCGUUAGAUUAGCUAGUUGGUGAGGUAAUGGCUCACCAAGGCGACGAUCUAUAGCUGGUCUGAGAGGAUGAUCAGCCACACUGGGACUGAGACACGGCCCAGACUCCUACGGGAGGCAGCAGUGAGGAAUAUUGGACAAUGGGGGCAACCCUGAUCCAGCCAUGCCGCGUGAGUGAUGACGGCCUUAGGGUUGUAAAGCUCUUUCGCUAGGGAAGAUAAUGACGGUACCUAGUAAAGAAGCCCCGGCUAACUUCGUGCCAGCAGCCGCGGUAAUACGAAGGGGGCUAGCGUUGUUCGGAAUCACUGGGCGUAAAGCGCGCGUAGGCGGACUUUUAAGUCAGGGGUGAAAUCCCGGGGCUCAACCUCGGAACUGCCUUUGAUACUGGAAGUCUUGAGUUCGAGAGAGGUGAGUGGAAUACCGAGUGUAGAGGUGAAAUUCGUAGAUAUUCGGUGGAACACCAGUGGCGAAGGCGGCUCACUG